GUCCUACGGGGGGCAGCAGUGAGGAAUAUUGGUCAAUGGUCGGGAGACUGAACCAGCCAAGCCGCGUGAGGGAGGAAGGUACAGAGUAUCGUAAACCUCUUUUGUCAGGGAACGAAGGCGGGGACGUGUCCCCGGAUGAGUGUACCUGCAGAAAAAGCAUCGGCUAACUCCGUGCCAGCAGCCGCGGUAAUACGGAGGAUGCGAGCGGUAUCCGGAUUUAUUGGGUUUAAAGGGAGCGUAGGUGGAUUGUUAAGUCAGUUGUGAAAGUUUGC
rnacentral:rRNA from 1 species